AACUGAAUUUUGCUUUUUUUUUUUCAUAAUAAUCUUGGCAAACAAUCCAAGAUCUGACUUUUGAAAUAGAAAUUAGGAUGGGAUUGAUCUCAGUAUAUUAACUGAGAAGAAUAACAUAAAACCUACCAAAUAUUUAUAUUUAUUUGCCCAUCUAAAUUAGGAAAUUUAAAAAAAAAUUAACAAAGUAUGAUUAGGAAACAAAUAAUGAUAUAGGCAAACGCACAGUUGAGAUAAGCCAUAAUGGGUUCUCAACUUGACUCUCACCCCGCCCCAUCAAAAAUCAAAAUAAAUAAAUAAAACUUUGUACCUUCGGUUCCGAACCAAAAUAAACAUUUCACCAAUCAUCAUGGCAUCUGUGCACAUGGGGCUGCCACAGACCUUCAACAACAUAAUAAAAAUUAAAAUAAUCAACGUACACCAAACAUAAUUACCACUAUUCAAAUCUAAAUUUUAAGUCCAUCAUAGUGCCAAACAUUCUUCAAUUCAAAAUUCCCAAAUCAUUAAAUUGAAGAAUGAAUAGAUAAAUAUACAACAAAUUUCCUAUAAAUUCAGCUGGCAACUUCACUCCUGAGCGCAGUAGAUAAUUAACUAAACACCUCCAUUCUUUGUAAGUCAAAUUAAAAGGAUUCUCCUUCAACCCCCAUUCUCAUUAAUUAGUCAUUAGCUUCAUAAUCAUGACAUAAUCUUCUCCCCUUCAUCCCAUAAUUCCCUUAAUGCAUUAUCAUCUACGCCUCCUUUACUGUCCCAAUCAAAGCUUAAAUUAUACCAUUCUUCAUCAAAUGGUGAUGAUUCACAAUUAUACAGUUCCCAAGCAGCAGUAGCAGUACUGCUGCUUUCUUUCUCCUGAUCAUUUGCAGCCACUCUGUCUGGACCCAUCACUUCAUUUCCUCUCCCUUCACUACCACCAAGUACCCCAUUUUCUUCUCUCUCUUUGUUAAGUGUGUCAAUAAUAUCGUUCCCACUUGGAUCCACAGCUUUGCCUUGCAGAACAUAUUUAAGCAGAUUUAUUUCACUGUCUAGCCAUUCAUAUGGUCCCCAGACCUCAAUUUCUCCAUCCUUUUUAGGGCACACUCCGGCUGCAUUAAAUCUUUCAUCGCCAUCUUUACAUGAGGAACCCUGCACACCAUUAUUACAGAGGUAUUUUUUAGUGUUUUCUGGCUCGCUUGUAGAGUUCUCUGGGGCCAAACCCAUUCUUUGGUUACUCUGUUCAAUUUGUACUGUAGAGGCAUUAUUAGGAGAGGAUGCUGGUUCAGGCACUCCUUCAGUUAGGGUUUCGCUCUUAGGCUUUGCUACUGAUAUUGGUGUGUUGCCCUUGCGUUUUUUAAUGGCUGAUCGACCACUUCUACCACUUAUCGACUUGCGUAGUCCAGCAAUAUUGGCAAUAUCUAUGGAAGUGAUGGUUGAGGAGGAUAUGGAAUCUUUCUUGGAGAAGCUGUAAAUUUUUCUUCUCAAAUGAGAGUUCCAGUAAUUCUUUAUCUCAUUGUCAGUUCUUCCUGGCAAUUGUGCAGCGAUCAUAGACCAUCUAUUACCCAAAGCUCUGUGCAACUUAACAAUGGUUUCUUCCUCUUGUGUGGUGAUGUUCCCUCUCUUCAAGUCAGCUCUUAAGUAAUUAAUCCAUCUCAGUCUGCAGCUCUUACCACACCUUAGCAACCCUGCAUUUUUGGGUAGUGAUCUCCAUGAGCCUUCUCCAUUGGCUAGAAUGUAUUUAGUCAAGAUUUCAUCUUCUUCAGCUGUCCAUCUCCCUUUCUUUAAUCCCACUUUCUCACAACAUGGUGCUCUUCCCAUUUCUGCUAGCUAUAGAUGCUUUCUGUACAGUACCAGGGCUCAGCUAAUCCCUUAAGGGAACAUGACUUUUGAUAGAGAGAGAGAGAGAGAGGAGUUGUUUUUCUUCUUUUUGUUUCUUUCCCGGAAAAAGAGAAGCUGAUGGGAGCUGGGGUUGUG
rnacentral:misc_RNA from 1 species